rnacentral:rRNA from 1 species
AUGCCGAGCGGUACAGCUGCAUCGCAGCAUGCAGCAGGCGAAUGCGUCAAUGAAGCUUUGCCGGUGCGUCAAUCAAGCUUUGCCGGAGCUCCAUUGAGGCCUCGCUGGUGCGUCAAUGAAACUUCGCCGGAGGUCCAAUCAAGCUUCGACGGGGCGUCGUCCCUGCUGCGUCCUAGUAUUUUCGUCACACUCGGUGUUGCUAUGGAGCAGCAUCCGGUGGCUCUUGGUGCUGCGAUGCAGCGGUCGCCGGCGGCUCCGAUGAUGCGUGCCUACGCUGCUCUGUAUCAGAUGGAUGAGGAUUGGAGGAGAAAGGCCCAGUUUGUGUCGCGCGAUGGAACGAUCAUCGGUGCCGGAUCGAACGGAGAAAUCAUCAGCAGCCGCCACUAA